GGUUUUUUUAAAAAAAAAACUAAAAAAUUCUCUGAGAGAGGGGAGAGGAAAGGCCCUCUGGGCUGUGGCCUCCGUCAGGCCAAGCUCCGGUUAUCGGCCAUACACGCGCCCACGCACCACCUCUCACACCACCACACGCGGCCGUUGGUGGUCAAAAAUCUAGAUUUCAGGCGAAAAAUAGAAAGGUGACCGCGAGGAUCUCGGUGAUUCAAGGGCCGCUGGCGUGAUGAAGCGCCGAUGGUGGCACAAUCCAAGGCUAGGACUACUACGGGGCAAUGAUCUCGGCAGCGAAAUGGUUGCUGGAACAGAGUCGAUUGGGCCUUGAUUCAGGAGCUGGACGGUCGUGAGAGAGACAAGCUUCUGGACAACACAUUAAUGGUGUGUCAACAGUGCAUUGAUGGCCUCGAUUUGGGGGGUUGAACAGAUGCUCCCCGAGGCUUCCAAAAGAUGUUGCAGCGCAUCAGUCUUCAAGAAACCCUAGGGUUUCCUGUUUCCCUUAAGUCAUUUGGGCCUUUUGGGCUGCUUUUAGAUUUGGGUUAGCCUGGUAGAUCAAGUGUUUUUAGGGGUCUGCUGUGUAACGGGUUUUAAAAUUUGGGCCCGAUGUGGGGUUUGGGUCGGUCUGUUAUGUCUAGACAUUGGGCCCAAUGUUUGGGCUUUGUAACCUGGACUUUUUUAAUGGACUGUUUAAUAAAUAAAUAUUUAUUUAUUUUCUUA